GACAGAGGGUGCAAACGUUGUUCGGAUUUACUGGGCGUAAAGCGCGUGUAGGCGGCUUGGCAAGUUGGAUGUGAAAGCCCACGGCUCAACCGUGGAAGCGCAUCCAAAACUGCUUCGCUCGAGUCUCGGAGAGGAAGGUGGAAUGCUUGGUGUAGAGGUGAAAUUCGUAGAUAUCAAGCAGAACACCUGCGGCGAAGGCGGCCUUCUGGACGAUGACUGACGCUGAGGCGCGAAAGCUAGGGGAGCGAACGGG
rnacentral:rRNA from 1 species